GACGAACGCUGGCGGCGUGCCUAAUACAUGCAAGUCGAACGCUUCUUUCCUCCCGAGUGCUUGCACUCAAUUGGAAAGAGGAGUGGCGGACGGGUGAGUAACACGUGGGUAACCUACCCAUCAGAGGGGGAUAACACUUGGAAACAGGUGCUAAUACCGCAUAACAGUUUAUGCCGCAUGGCAUAAGAGUGAAAGGCGCUUUCGGGUGUCGUUGAUGGAUGGACCCGCGGUGCAUUAGCUAGUUGGUGAGGUAACGGCUCACCAAGGCCACGAUGCAUAGCCGACCUGAGAGGGUGAUCGGCCACACUGGGACUGAGACACGGCCCAGACGCCUACGGGAGGCAGCAGUAGGGAAUCUUCGGCAAUGGACGAAAGUCUGACCGAGCAACGCCGCGUGAGUGAAGAAGGUUUUCGGAUCGUAAAACUCUGUUGUUAGAGAAGAACAAGGACGUUAGUAACUGAACGUCCCCUGACGGUAUCUAACCAGAAAGCCACGGCUAACUACGUG
rnacentral:rRNA from 1 species